rnacentral:rRNA from 1 species
UACGGCGGUGGCAAGCGUUGCUCGGAAUCACUGGGCGUAAAGGGCGCGUAGGCGGGGAGGUAAGUCGGGUGUGAAAUCCCUCGGCCCAACUGAGGAACUGCGCCCGAGACUGCUUCUCUUGAGUCCCGGAGAGGAAGAUGGAAUUCCCGGUGUAGCGGUGAAAUGUGUAGAGAUCGGGAGGAACACCGGUGGCGAAGGCGGUCUUCUGGACGGUGACUGACGCUGAGGCGCGAAAGCGUGGGGAGCAAACGGG